GCAACGCGAAGAACCUUACCAGGUCUUGACAUCCUUUGACCACUCUGGAGACAGAGCUUUCCCUUCGGGGACAAAGUGACAGGUGGUGCAUGGUUGUCGUCAGCUCGUGUCGUGAGAUGUUGGGUUAAGUCCCGCAACGAGCGCAACCCUUGAUUUUAGUUGCCAGCAUUUAGUUGGGCACUCUAAAGUGACUGCCGGUGCAAGCCGGAGGAAGGUGGGGAUGACGUCAAAUCAUCAUGCCCCUUAUGACCUGGGCUACACACGUGCUACAAUGGAUAGUACAAAGGGUCGCGAAGCCGCGAGGUGGAGCUAAUCCCAUAAAACUAUUCUCAGUUCGGAUUGUAGGCUGCAACUCGCCUACAUGAAGCCGGAAUCGCUAGUAAUCGUGGAUCAGCAUGCCACGGUGAAUACGUUCCCGGGCCUUGUACACACCGCCCGUCACACCACGAGAGUUUGUAACACCCGAAGUCGGUAGGGUAACCUUUAUGGAGCCAGCCGCCGAAGGUGGGACAGAUAAUUGGGGUGAAGUCGUAACAAGGUAGCCGUAUCGGAAG
rnacentral:rRNA from 1 species